UGUAACCAGAUUAUAAAAAGAUAAACACUAUCAUCAACUCACAUUUCAUGAUUGUGCAGGGGACGGUUUAUUAGCACCCUGCCUAAAACCUCUUUUGGAAUUUUGUCACAAAGGAACUCAUCAGCUGCCAGAAUAGCAGCCACGGCCAUCUCAUUACUUUCUUCUGUUUGUCCCUCUUCAAGAAUUUGACUAUUAAGAUAGUAAGCAGCAGCCUGAAAUGUAUUUUGUGUAAGUCAAGAUCACAAUCAUUUAAAUUUUAUAAACAAAAACUGUACCUUGGCUUCAACAUAUUUCCAUUCGACGAAAAGCUUAUGUUUUUGUCCCCAUCCAUUUGCUAGUGGAAGGUGUUCUAUGUUUUCUCGAGCCUGCAAAGUGUAGAGAAUCCACAUCUGAGAAUUUUUGUAUUCAUAGAAUGUGCGAAUAAGAGCCUUUUAAGCAUGUAUAAAUUUGUACCUGAUUCCGGUAUUUUGCCAGCUCGCAUGCAAACCUCGGUUUCACUGCCAAUGUGGCUUUGACACUAUCAAUUGCCAUUCCAAGUUGACCAUACAAUCUACUUAGAAACUCAUCUUACAUUUAACCAAUAGUUUGUUAUUAUUCUA